GCAAGGGUUGAAACUCAAAGGAAUUGACGGGGGCCCGCACAAGCAGCGGAGCAUGUGGUUUAAUUCGACGCAACGCGAAGAACCUUACCAGGUCUUGACAUCCAGUAAAACUUGCAGAGAUGCAUCGUGAGCUUGCUCAUACUGAGACAGGUGGUGCAUGGUUGUCGUCAGCUCGUGUCGUGAGAUGUUGGGUUAAGUCCCGCAACGAGCGCAACCCUUAUUUUCAGUUACUAACGCGUAAUGGUGAGGACUCUGAAGAGACUGCCGGGGACAACUCGGAGGAAGGUGGGGACGACGUCAAAUCAUCAUGCCCCUUAUGACCUGGGCUACACACGUGCUACAAUGGCCACCACAGAGAGGUGCGAACCCGCAAGGGAGAGCGGAUCUCAAAAAAGUGGUCCCAGUUCGGAUUGUGGGCUGCAACCCGCCCACAUGAAGUCGGAGUUGCUAGUAAUCGCGGAUCAGCAUGCCGCGGUGAAUACGUUCCCGGGCCUUGUACACACCGCCCGUCACACCAUGGGAGUUGGGAGUGCCCAAAGUCGGUGAGGUAACCGCAAGGAGCCAGCCGCCUAAGGCAAGACCAAUGACUGGGGUGAAGUCGUAACAAGGUAACCGUAA
rnacentral:rRNA from 1 species